UGAUAUGUUUGGUAUAUUAGGUUGUCUUGGAUCCAAACGCAACUAUAUAUCAAACAUAUUUGUA
rnacentral:pre_miRNA from 1 species